UACGUAGGGGGCAAGCGUUGUCCGGACUUACUGGGCGUAAAGCGCGUGCAGGCGGAUUGGUAUGUGCCGUGUGAAAGCUCUCAGCUUGCCUGGGAGAGGUCGCGGUAGACAGCCGAUCUGGAGGCUCGGAGAGGUCAGUGGAAUUCCCGGUGUAGUGGUGAAAUGCGUAGAGAUCCGGAAGAACACCGGUGGCGAAGGCGGUCUGCUGGGCAGUUGCUGACACUGAGGCGCGACAGCGUGGGGAGCAAACAGG
rnacentral:rRNA from 1 species